rnacentral:rRNA from 1 species
CCUACGGGUGGCAGCAGUGAGGAAUAUUGGUCAAUGGACGAGAGUCUGAACCAGCCAAGUAGCGUGAAGGAUGACUGCCCUAUGGGUUGUACACUUCUUUUAUAAAGGAAUAAAACGAGGCACGUGUGCCUCUUUGCAUGUACUUUAUGAAUAAGCAUCGGCUAACUCCGUGCCAGCAGCCGCGGUAAUACGGAGGAUCCGAGCGUUAUCCGGAUUUAUUGGGUAUAAAGGGAGCGUAGAUGGGUUGUUAAGUCAGUUGUGAAAGUUUGCGGCUCAACCGUAAGAUUGCAAUUGAUACUGGCAGUCUUGAGUACAGUUGAGGUAGGCGGAAUUCGUGGUGUAGCGGUGAAAUGCUUAGAUAUCACGAAGAACCCCGAUUGCGAAGGCAGCUUACUAAACUGUGACUGACAUUGAUGCUCGAAAGUGUGGGUAUCAAACAGGAUUAGAUACCCGGGUAGUC